GACGAACGCUGGCGGCGUGCCUAAUACAUGCAAGUCGAACGCAGUGGGGACGGGUGAGUAACACGUGGGUAACCUCCCAUCAGAGGGGAUAACACUUGGAAACAGGUGCUAAACCGAUACUGAUGGAUGGACCCGGGGUGCAUUAGCUAGUUGGUGAGGUAACGGCUCACCAAGGACACGAGGCAUAGCCGACCUGAGAGGGUGAUCGGCCACCCUGUGUCUGAGACGCGGCCCAGACUCCUACGUGAGGCAACAGUAGGGAAUCUUCGGCAAUGGACGAAAGUCUGACCGGGAAACGCCGCGUAAGUGAAAAGAGUUUUCGGAUCGUAAAACUCUGUUGUUAGAAAAGCGGUAUCUAACCAGAAAGCCACGGCUAACUACGUGCCAGCAGCCGCGGUAAUAC
rnacentral:rRNA from 1 species